UACGUAGGUGGCGAGCGUUGUCCGGAUUUAUUGGGCGUAAAGCGCGCGCAGGCGGUACGGUCAGUCCGGUGUGAAAGCCCCCGGCUCAACUGGGGGAGGGCACUGGAGACGGCCGCACUGGAGGCAGGCAGAGGCCGGUGGAAUUCCCGGUGUAGUGGUGAAAUGCGUAGAGAUCGGGAGGAACACCAGUGGCGAAGGCGGCCGGCUGGGCCUGUCCUGACGCUGAGGCGCGAAAGCGUGGGGAGCGAACCGG
rnacentral:rRNA from 1 species